rnacentral:rRNA from 1 species
CGCGAACGCUGGCGGCGUGCCUAAUACAUGCAAGUCGAGCGGACUGUGCCUUCGGGUACAGUUAGCGGCGGACGGGUGAGUAACACGUAGGCAACCUGCCCGCAAGACCGGGAUAACUAACGGAAACGUUAGCUAAUACCGGAUAGGCGGCCUUCUCGCAUGAGGGGGCCGGGAAAGACGGAGCAAUCUGUCACUUGCGGAUGGGCCUGCGGCGCAUUAGCUAGUUGGUGGGGUAACGGCUCACCAAGGCGACGAUGCGUAGCCGACCUGAGAGGGUGAUCGGCCACACUGGGACUGAGACACGGCCCAGACUCCUACGGGAGGCAGCAGUAGGGAAUCUUCGGCAAUGGACGAAAGUCUGACCGAGCAACGCCGCGUGAGUGAGGAAGGCCUUCGGGUCGUAAAGCUCUGUUGCCAGGGACGAACGGCGAUGUGUUAACUGCACAUCGUGUGACGGUACCUGAGAAGAAAGCCCCGGCUAACUACGUGCCAGCAGCCGCGGUAAUACGUAGGGGGCAAGCGUUGUCCGGAAUUAUUGGGCGUAAAGCGCGCGCAGGCGGCGGGUUUAAGUCUGGAGUUU